rnacentral:rRNA from 1 species
AUGCGACAAAUGACGACCAUUUCGGUUGGCAUUGUUGUGCUUGCCACACUUGUUUUGGCAUCCGAGGGUCGCAUUGCCCGGAAGGACUUAGGCCUAAACCUUGGUGGUGUAGGCUUGGGGACCGAUACAGGUGUCAAUAUAGGGGGUAACAUUGGCAUAGGUGGUGCCGGCUCUGCAUCGGGGUCUGGUUCUGCGUCUGGAUCAGGGUCGGGAUCAGCCUCUGGUUCGGGGUCUGGCUCGGGGUCUGGUUCGGGCGCUGCAUCAUCAGCAGGUUCGGGUGCAGUUUCUGGUGGGGGGUCUUAUGCUGGGUCUGGUGCAGGCUCAGGCUCAGGUGGAGCCUCUGGCUCUAGUGCCGGCUCAGGCUCAGGUGGAGCCUCUGGUUCUGGUGCGGGUUCAAGCUCGGGUGGAGCUUCUGGCUCUGGCGCUGGUUCAGGUGCAGGCUCAGGUGGAGCCUCUGGCUCUGGUGCUGGUUCAGGCUCAGGUGGAGCCUAUGGUGGAGCUUCUGGCUCUGGUGUCGGUUCAGGCUCAGGUGGAGGCUCUGGUUCAGGUGCUGGUUCGGGAUCCGGUUAUGGUCAGGGGCAGGGAAAAGGCGAAGGCCGGGGCCAAGGGUCUGGAUAUGGCCAGGGUUCCGGCUCGGGCCAUGGACAAGGUUCAGGCUCUGGUUCGGGUUAUGGUGAGGGACAUGGUGAAGGUUAUGGACAAGGACAUGGUGCGGGAUCUGGAUAUGGUGAGGGCCAUGGCGAAGGUUAUGGUCAAGGUAGUGGUGUCGGGCAAGGAUCCGGAUACGGUGAGGGCCAUGGCGAAGGUUAUGGUCAAGGAAGUGGGGUCGGGCAAGGAUCUGGAUAUGGCGAAGGUCAUGGCCAAGGCUCUGGUUCAGGCUCUGGCUAUGGUGAAGGCUCUGGUAGUGGUUAUGGAAAUGGGGCCGGCUCGGGCUACGCUGAAGGUCAUGGAUAUGGGUAUGGAUCUGGACAUGGCAAAUGA